rnacentral:tRNA from 1 species
CGGUCGCUUGUCCGAGUGGUUAGGUUAGCGUUUGCAAAACGUUUUACGGCGGUUCGAUUCCGCCAGCGACAA